AAAACUUCCUGAUUUAGCAUUACAUUUGUAAAAUCAUACAUGUUUCGCCAAUAUUAAAAACAGUCAUGGUUAAUGUACACUUUGGAUUGACAGUGGUGAUAAUUGUAGUGCAAUGGAUAAACUCAGGUACUGAAGCCCAGGAGGUCACGAUGUCUCCAACAUCUCCCACCGUGACACAGUACAAUCCUCUGACACUUACCUGUGCGACACAGAGUACAAACGUCAUGUAUGUAGUAUGGAGUAAGCGAGUAGGAAGUAAUUCUGAUCUUGCUAUCGGGACCAUACGCAUUAGAGGGGACAACGACUGUUCUCCUCCAUUCGUUGAUUUUGCACCAAACUCCACACUAUACACAUACGCCUGUCCUGCUACAAACAGACUCACGCUUACAAUAAGGAACGUUUCGAGGACUGAGAACGGGGUCAGAUGGAAAUGCCAAGUUACAGUCGAUGGAAAACCAGAACCCAGUCAGGAGGUAGCAAUUACAGUGCAAGUUGGCAUCACUUACGUGAUGUUAUCUCCCACCACCGACCCUAUCAACGUUAAAGAGAAUACCAUAACAUCAUUGCAAUGCCGAACAUCGGGCGGGUUACCAGCUGCCUCGGUCAGAUGGUUCAUCCAAAGGUCUGGGCAGGUGCAGGACGUAACGUCGCUCUCCACGGACACGUACCAAGAGGUGGAUGACCUUAACGUGACGCGGAGCACACUUAACUUCACUCCGUUAAAAGCUGACCAUAAUGGCCAGAUAUAUUGUUCAGCUAGCAAUGUAGGAGUGGAGACGAAUUCUGCAAAGCUAUCGAUUAAUGUAUUAUAUCCACCUCGUCUGCCGUCAUUCACAUACGGAUCUAACACUGGCUCAGUCAUUACCGACAACAACAUUGACAUUAUCCGUGGAGACGGAGCUUCAGUGGCAUGUGAAGCCGACGCCAACCCGGCUCCCCAUACCUACACCUGGUCUGGAUCACAGACCAACAACCAGCUGCUGUCACUUAGCAGCUUCAAUGUUAACACCACCGUCCUGUGCACGGCGUUCAACACAAUGACGGAAACAAACGGGAGUCCUAUUAAUAGAAGCAAUAGUUCCACUUUGCAUAUAAAUGUUUGGCGACCACCACAUGGUGUUACAUUACGAUACCAUUAUGGUAUAACUGGAUCCUUGAGUAUAGUAGAAGAACUGAAGGUAUUAACCAGCGAAGACUUCUGGUUGUCUUGCACGGCGGAAAGCUCUCCUCCGUCUACGUACACAUGGUCAAGCCACCCUUCUUCACGGGCAGGAAUCUUAAAUGUAACAGGAGGUCUAACAGCAAGCCAGUCGGUGUCGUGCAUGGCGGAAAACUACAUGCAUACGACGUACAAGGGCACGGUUCGCGGGAACACGUCAUCUGCCCUAAACAUUGACGUCUUGUAUGGCCCGACAGCGAGUAAUUUGCAGAAUGUUAGUAAAGUCCGCGGGGAAAACCUUGUUUACAUGUGUCUGUUCACACCGGGCAACCCUUCAACUGUUGACUUUGAGUGGACGAGGUCCGCAACAGGCGUCCCAUGGGUAAAACAGAAUGCACAGAAUUUGAUCAUUCCAACCGUGCAGCGCAGUGACGAGGCCAGUUACACGUGCAAAGUGUCCAGCCUUCUACAGCCAACGUUGACAUCAGCGACGACCACACAGUAUGAUACUGCAACAUUUUUUCUAGAUAUUCUUUAUGGGGCGGAAAAUCUGGUGUUUCAACUCAACAACGCUUCCCACGCAUCUGUAGAAGUUGAUGAACAUUCAUCAAACUAUAUGCGAUGUUUCCUAGAAAGUGACCCCGGGUCGAAUAUGGCCCUAACGAAAGACGGUAAAACGAUAUAUGCACAACCUGGAGUACAUCAGCUUUCACAUGAACUACAGGCUGAAUGCUCGGAUACUGGACUGUUUACGUGUUCAGGACACAACCAGUAUGGAGCGGCAGAUAAUGCGUCAAUGCAGUUAUUUGUAAAAUGUUCCGCGAGGCGACCCACUGGAGUGGAGGUACAGCUUAAUUUCACCGCACGUCAACAUGAGAAUGCAACAUUAGUCUACAAAACAGUCGCAUACCCUGUACCCAAGCCCUCACAGUUUGUUUGGAAGCGCUGUACGAAUCGCACUUCUUGUGAACCUUUGACGGAUGAAAAGAAGAAAUUUGAAAUUGACACAGAGGGUCUUUUAAGUAAAUUAACGAUUCUGGUCGUUCAGAUUGAAGAUUACAGAUUGUACCAGUUGUCAGUGUCUAAUGGAAUUGGCGAUACACUAGUCGAAUGGUUACACCUUAUACCAAUCGGAAAACCGGAUUCGCCAACGGACUUCCACGUUAUUCAAGAUAUAUUACGCGAGACAAGUGCUGUUUUAACCUGGAUUCCCGGAUUUGCCAACGGAUCACCUCAGGAUUUUCACAUUUCCUAUGGAAAACUUGUUGACGGCACCGGUUUUUAUCCACAAACUAUAAAACAUGACAACAGAGUGACGAUGUAUUACAUAGUUGAAGAUUUAAAACCAGAAACCGAAUACUUCGUUUCACUCUUUUCGGCAAACGAGGAGGGUUCUUCUGCACCGGUGAACGUUACCUUUCUAACUCUAAAACGUAUUAAUGAUCAUACUGAGACUAGUCCAAAUAGUGGUCCUGUUGUUGGAGGGGCAGUUGGCGGAACUGUUGGUGCAAUAGUGGCAAUAGUUGUCGUCGUAAUCAUUCUCAGGCGGAAUUACGCACUAAAUUGCAACGUUACCUUGACAAAAAAAAGAGGUCCUUCCGAGCAUUCCAUAUCCGGAAAAGACAACCCCGGAUGUAAUGCAGCCAAGACGUACGAGGUCGUGUCCAUGACAACGAAAACAUCGGCUUACGAUGAUCUAAAAACUGGUGACAGCGGAUCCGAUAACUCGCACGUGUAUACGUCCUUGGAGGAGUCAAAGUCAAAGCCACAUGUAUACUACGAAAAUGUAAAGAAAGAUGAUCCCAUAUACAAAAAUACUGUGCUGAAGAAUCCGGUGCAGACAGUGCUUUAAAUGUAAACAGCCAUAAGACAAUGUGUAAAUUGUGGCAAUUUACAAUGUCAUUUACUUUCCCAGUGAAAUAUCGAAUAAUAAGCAAGCAAUAUAUCAACGAAGUAUGAAUUGCCUAAAGAGAUAAAAUAAUGCGAUUGCAAACAAUGCUUUAAGUGUGUACUUUACUCUAAAUCAUGAUAAUCUCAUUUCAUAAGACAAUGUGACGAUUAGACAAUGUCAUUUGCGUUCCAAAUGAGUGAAUCAAUGAUAAUCCACCAAUAUAUCGACGAGAAUUGUUCACUGAGACACAAGGCGAUACCUGAACGCAGCAAGGUUCCCCGGAGGUUACCUUAUCAUGGUGAAAGCCAUGUGUUUAAAAUGGACUGAACUAAAUUUAUUCAUAUAGAUAAUUGUAACUGAAAUAAUUAUUGACUUUUUGCUACUUUUACAUUUAUUUGAUAUAUUAUUAUGCUGUUACACAAGUACGUGAUACAAUUUAAGAUAUAGCUGACACUCGACUUAUUGCUAUAACAUCAGACCCUAUUAACAUUUUAGUUUGACUAAGUCAUUUUCGAUGAGUGCAAAAUGAGAUGGUCGACCCGCUUGCCAAGUUUUGAUCGCGAGUGGAUGGAGUCCGUACUGGUAAUUAAUUGACUUUGGAUCGUUUUAUUUUCGCGAUCGAUGGGCUUUCGUAAUUGAAUUUAGAUCAGACUUAUUCGCAAUUGAAGGCAUUUCCGAGACAAGCAAAGUUUUGUUCACGUCGACAGGCUGAGUACUUAAUGUCUCACCUCGAACGUAAUAAGGUAAUUAGGUCAUUGAAACAUUACGCCAGAUAAUUGCUUAAUUGGUAGGUAAGCCGAUUAAUGUGUGUUCAGUGCGAUUGUAUACAACUUGUAAGAGCGACAAAGCCAUUUGUUUUCCAUCUCGACUCAAAGAACUUUCGAUUUCUGCCAACACAUCUGGAUUUGACCACAAACGUAGUAAGCACAUUUGUGCUUUAAAAUGUUGCUCAACCAGCGCCUCAUAAGGCGAUUGUAUCGUUUAAGUCUUAAGUGAACAACCACGAAUGAGAGAUUUUAGAGGAACCAUUUAUUGUCGUGUCAAAGUAAAUAAAUCAGUAAAAACA